GAAAGAUAUAGCAUCUGUACCUUUUGUUUCUGCAGAACUUGUGAAGAUGUAUGGGAGUUGUGGUGCAAUUGAUAAAUCUAGGUUGUCCUUUGAUAUAAUACCUAUAAAAGGAUCUAUGACAUGGACUGCUAUUAUAGAGGCUUAUGGCUUAAGUGGCCAAUACGGAGCAGCAAUAAACGAGUUUAAGCAGAUGAUAUCGAAGGGCUUUAACCCAAACCAUUUU
rnacentral:misc_RNA from 1 species